AUGUCAAAUCAUCAUGCCCUAUAUGUCCUGGGCAACACACGUACUACAAUGGCUACUACAGAUAGAAACGAAUCUGUGAAGAAGAGUGAAUCUAAAAAAGUAGUCUCAGUUCGGAUUGAAGGCUGAAAUUCGCCUUCAUGAAGUCGGAAUUGCUAGUAAUUGCAGGUCAGCAUACUGCAGUGAAUACGUUCCCGGCUCUU
rnacentral:rRNA from 1 species